UACGUAGGCAGCGAGCGUUGUUCGGAGUUACUGGGCGUAAAGAGUGCGUAGGCGGUUUUCUAAGUUUGGUGUGAAAUCUCCCGGCUUAACUGGGAGGGUGCGCCGAAGACUGGAAGGCUUGAGUAUGGGAGAGGUAAGCGGAAUUCCUGGUGUAGCGGUGAAAUGCGUAGAUAUCAGGAGGAACACCUGCGGUGUAGACGGCUUACUGGACCAUAACUGACGCUGAGGCACGAAAGCGUGGGUAGCAAAUAGG
rnacentral:rRNA from 1 species